rnacentral:rRNA from 1 species
UGGGGAAUAUUGCACAAUGGGGGAAACCCUGAUGCAGCGACGCCGCGUGAACGAAGAAGUAUUUCGGUAUGUAAAGUUCUAUCAGCAGGGAAGAUAAUGACGGUACCUGACUAAGAAGCACCGGCUAAAUACGUGCCAGCAGCCGCGGUAAUACGUAUGGUGCAAGCGUUAUCCGGAUUUACUGGGUGUAAAGGGAGCGCAGGCGGUGCGGCAAGUCUGAUGUGAAAGCCCGGGGCUCAACCCCGGGACUGCAUUUGGAACUGCUGAGCUAGAGUGUCGGAGAGGCAAGUGGAAUUCCUAGUGUAGCGGUGAAAUGCGUAGAUAUUAGGAGGAACACCAGUGGCGAAGGCGGCUUGCUGGACGAUGACUGACGUUGAGGCUCGAAAGCG